AAAAGAACCAACUAUCUUUCCAAAUCAGUCCACCACGUAUGGACAAGCAUUUGAUGGUUUCUCCAGCAAGAAAGGGAAAACUGGGAAAACCUCUUCUCUACCAGUUGUUGAUGUUGAAGCUGAAGUAAUGGAUGUGGACUGAUACCUUGUAUAAAACCUUUUAUUUGAUUGGUGUCAAGGGAUCCUCAAUAGACUCAUCUAUACAAUAUCAUAAACAUGAUAUUUAGGCAGAAGUUUUGUACUUAUAAUGACAGGCAGAAGUUUUGUACUUAUAAUGACUUGUGUUAGAGAGGGUUGUUGUUGUUGCAUGUAACUUUAUAUUAUGAAAGUGUAUCAUGUAUUCAUCAGUA